CUUUGUCUAGCUCUCUGUCCCUUUCCUUUAUUCGAUUUCGAAGUUUCCUACAUAUAAACCCGAAACUAGAUUUAGAUUGUACUAGAAAUGAGAUGCUAACAUACUACAUUACCCCUGAUUUCUUUGACGUAGACUCCAAUGGACUUCUUUUUGAAGCUUUCAUGGUGUGCCUUUUUGCUUUGUUAAUUUCGAAUCCCGUAUGCCCUGGCUACCGGUAGUUUGCGCAUCAAUAUAUGGUGAGGCUAAAUGAAGAAUAUGCUACGAAAUGAUACUAUUUCCAGAACACAACUUUGUUGACAUAAGCUCCGUAGCUUGAGAUUUUAUCCAGUCCAUUAUAGCAUGUGUCUGGACUUAGUCAUCUGUAGCAAGAUAAGCCACUUGCGAAAAGGCCUUACACAUCUUGUCAUAUCUCAACUGUCCUGGAGUACUGAGCUAACCAUCGUAGUGCACUACAACUCUCGUGUAUGCUCUAGUGACAUCUCUCCUCCAUUUCCGUAGUGUGUACUUCUCGGGCAAUUGUGUGAUGUCGUCUCGAAUCAAUACCGUAAUUGCAUGUCUGCAAAUAAUUCCCUGAACUCGAAUAAGUGGCAACUGCAAAUUAUUUCACGCUGCUCCAUAUCAAAUGAGGCAAAAUUUUAUUUUUCCUCCGGUGCUCGUGAUACAUCACAUCCUUACCCACCUCAUAUGUCGUCCCCGAACAUCCCUCAAAAGAAGAAACGAGGAUAGUAAAACAUUCCCUUGAACUAUCUUGCACUUCUCUGAACUUUGAAAUGGUAUAAACUGAUUGGAAAUGCUUCUCAAUUUCAUAAUUCGUUGCAUAGGGCACCAUUUGGGAGUAUGACCUGAAAUUAGCGUGGAACUCCUUCUCCACUUUACUUCUCAAUGCUAUUUCGUACUACUCUACAAAUUGCUUCAACGAGGUCUUCGAAUGCACAUACCCAUCGAAGAACGUGUUCAUACUCUCACUUCGUUGAGUUGUGGACAUUCAUACCCAUAAUGUGGUUCUUAAGAAGGAACCCAACGAUCUCUAUUAUGAUACAAUUCUGACAACCAAUCAUUUUCAUGCAAGUCAUAUGUAUCGAUCGUCUGUUGCCAUCCUUCUUCAAAUUCUUCAACAGUUCGUGAAUCGUAAAACACAUUAUGGAAAGUCGAAAAUAUCCUGCCUUUGUCAACAUGAUAUCCAAACUUCUUCGGCAACUUCUUCAAAAUGUGUCAUAGACACCAUCUAUGUCUCGUGCAUGGGAAAAUGAUCCCAAUUGCGUUUUGCAUGGCCCGAUCCUAACCAGUAACUAUUACAUUCGGAGCUUGUCCAUGAAUGCACUCAAGCCACAUCCUGAAUAGCUAGACAAACGUAUCCGUGUCCUCAUUAGCUAACAAACCACAACCAAACAAUAUUGACUGGCCAUGACGAUUCACUCCAACGAAAUGGGCAAACGGCAUAUUGUACUUGUUAGUGAGAUAAGUGGUAUCAAAUGUCAUAACAUCUCCGAACUCUUUAUACUCUUGCCUACGCCUAUUAUCCGCGCAGAAAACAUUCUUUAGUUGAAACACGUCAUCUAAAUCAAUGCUGAAGUAAAAUCCCAAGCACUUUGCAUUUUCGAAAAGUAGGACUGUAUUGCAGUUACGUCCCCUCUCCAAGUCGUGAACGUCUAACUUGUUUAAUAUAGUUUAUGCAGUCCUGCUCUAUACACAUUAUGUUCUCAUAUCCACCUACUUCCACAACUGCAGAGUUGUAACUUUUAUGUAACGGAAAUCCUGCUACAUCAUUCACUUCAAGUUUACGUUUCACAUUUGCACUCAACUCCCUAUUGCAUCGAUACAACCUAGAUUUAGAAGGACUAGUUUCAUGGUUGUGAUCGAGGUGGACUGUGUUAAUUCUCCACCUUCCAUGACUGUCUGAGGAGGAUGAGGUCCUUGCUUUACAGUGAGUUUGACUGAUUGGUUUAGGCUUUAAAGACCCACUUGCAUUACUACUUCUUCUGCCUUCACGACUGCAUGUGAAAGUUACAUAUCUCAGAACGCCAUCAUCCCCUUUUUUUGAGUUCCAUCUUCUGACGGGAAAACCUAUAUCAUAAGCAUAUCUCUUGUACAUCUCAAACAUGUCUGUUUCGUUGAACAUCAUACCCAUCUCCGCUACAAUCGUACCAUUUUGUCCUGUUGUUUCAUUUUCAACCCUAUUCAUAUUAUUUGCAGCGCUCUCAUUAUCGGACUCCACCAACAAUUCAUCAUACACGUCUUCCAUAAUCUCUUCCACUGCGACAAAAUAAGUAGUAGCGCUUAUCGAAGCAUAAACCAUUUACAUUGCACCAUGCACAAAAUAAGGGGUAAAAUGAAAACAAGUGACAGUUUCUUCACAAUGACAUUUAAUGCAUUGUAUUUGCUGAUCGACGACGGAGGUCAUAAAUAUAACUAAUAUUUAG
rnacentral:lncRNA from 1 species